AGUGAACGCUGGCGGUAGGCCUAACACAUGCAAGUCGAACGGCAGCACAAGAGAGCUUGCUCUCUGGGUGGCGAGUGGCGGACGGGUGAGGAAUACAUCGGAAUCUACUCUGUCGUGGGGGAUAACGUAGGGAAACUUACGCUAAUACCGCAUACGACCUACGGGUGAAAGCAGGGGACCUUCGGGCCUUGCGCGAUUGAAUGAGCCGAUGUCGGAUUAGCUAGUUGGCGGGGUAAAGGCCCACCAAGGCGACGAUCCGUAGCUGGUCUGAGAGGAUGAUCAGCCACACUGGAACUGAGACACGGUCCAGACUCCUACGGGAGGCAGCAGUGGGGAAUAUUGGACAACGGGCGCAAGCCUGAUCCAGCCAUACCGCGUGGGUGAAGGAGGCCUUCGGGUUGUAAAGCCCUUUUGUUGGGAAAGAAAUCCAGCUGGCUAAUACCCGGUUGGGAUGACGGUACCCAAAGAAUAAGCACCGGCUAACUUCGUGCCAGCCGCCGCCGUAA
rnacentral:rRNA from 1 species